CUUUGCUCAGCGAAGAAAUGUCGUCCGCACUUGUCGCGGCGAAAUAAACGGCGAAACAUGUCCGCUCCGGUGGUCAGUCGUGCGCAGACAGCCAGCAGUGCUGUACCAGCGGGAAUUGUCGGAUGUGUUGUUUGUAAGAGGAGCGACAAGUUGUUACGGUGUUCGCGGUGUAAGAUCGCAGUAUAUUGCACUAAGGAACAUCAGAGGUUGGAUUGGAAACGUCAUAAAGCAUUUUGCCAGAAACACCCACCACAUUUAAGUGUCACGGUCGAACCUAGUUACGAAACGACUCCUGGUUCUGAUAACUUCCUGGAGAACACGGUGGACAGGUCGAGCUUUGAUGCUAUUUCGAAUUUACGUGGAAUACUCUCAACAAAUUCGCAACUUUUGGCUAGUUCGGAAACCUCUCAGAAGGAUUCUGUCAACGAUAGUUACCUCAAAGGAAAUUCAUCAAUGAGUGGAGAAUUUUUACGGAAUUACGAAUAUACUGAAAAAAGUGUUGAUGAAAACAGAAGACAUCCUCGUGGAGCACGUGCAGACGGUUGGACGUCACCUAUAACCUACGAGGGUAGCUCUGAAGAUACCAUUCUUGGCGCUAGAGCCGAAUCCCUUAAUCCUGCUCUGGAAACCUCAGCGAUUUUGAGCACUGCUCAACACUCUGCAUUAGAAAUGCCGACACAUCAUCAUAAUGGCAUUAACAACUUCCCGGAGAUACAGCUCAACCGAGAAGAAGAUUUUUUACCACCAUUUCUGCACAGAAAUAGAAAUAAUUUGGACGAGCGCAUUAUAGAUCAGAUCUGUCGAAAUGUGAUAACGGACAUGGACCAAUAUGGAGUAUGUGUAGUGGACACUUUUCUUGGUGCUGAAAAGGGCAUGGCUGUGUUAAAUGAAGUUUUGAACAUGUAUAGUGCUGGAUUAUUUAAGGAUGGACAAUUAGUUUCUAACAAAGCUGGUGCCAGUGAUUUGAAGACCAUUCGUGGAGAUCAAAUUACUUGGCUGGAUGGCAAGGAAAAACAGUGCCAGAACAUUGGAAUGUUAAUAUCUCAAGUAGAUGCCAUUAUUAUGCGAGCGAACAAAAUGUAUAAUAAUGGAAGAAUUGGAAAUUACACAAUCAAUGGAAGAACCAAGGCCAUGGUGGCGUGUUAUCCUGGUUAUGGUUCCCAUUAUGUGAAACACGUGGAUAAUCCAAAUCGUGAUGGGCGAUGCAUCACUGCUAUCUAUUACCUUAAUAAAGACUGGGAUAUCAAGGUAAAGACGAUACUUGAGUACGUAAGGUGAAUAGUUUAGAGAAAAACGGUGGACUCCUCAGGAUAUUUCCUGAAGGCUGGCGCGAUCAGGUUGCGGAUAUAGAACCUCUGUUCGACAGAAUUCUCUUCUUCUGGUCAGAUAGAAGAAAUCCGCACGAGGUACAGCCAGCCUAUAAAACGAGAUACGCCAUUACGCUUUGGUACUUUGACGCUGAGGAGAGAAAUCAAGCUUGCCGAAGAUAUCAGAGAGAACGAGAAAUGCAUAACCAACCGAAAAAUUCGUGAGAUAUAGAGUCCGGAGGACCGCGUCGCCGUCCGAUGACUGAAAUUGUAACUUUAAUUUAUCGAUUUAUACAUCUGUAAAUAGUUGCGCACCCCCAAGAAGCAGCGGUACAUAAACUUUAUGUAAUAUUAUUAUGUAUUAAGAUAUGCCUGAUGAUCCUACUGGAGGAAUUGAAUAACGAUACGGAUAACUGAAACGAAACUGUAGUCUUUAAGGAUGUGCAAUAGGUUUAAGUGACUUUUUUCUACGAGCAACGCCACACGAUUAUCAAAUUUUCGAAAGUGCGUUCACGUGUCCAAAUGCAAAACGGGACUGUCACGCGUAUGCGCUCGUCUUUCCCGUGGGGCGCAAAAAUCUUGAAAACGAAAGACUUUGGGUAUUGAAUUACGCCCUAGAAGUUUUGAUGAUUUUUUUUCUUACAUUUUUUCUAUUGCCUUCGUCGACUUAAACCUUAAUAGUGUUGUGUCACUUGGUCGCGUUUACAUCGCGUAUGAAUUUUCUUACUUCAUAACGACGUUGGGAAUGUGCGAUUGGUAUUUAUUUCUUAUUUAAUGUCGUAACGAUAAGCUGUGCAUACGAAUUACCUGCAAUUGAAGAUUCCUCUUUAGGAGAACGAUUUAUAUAUCCUGCUAUCCGAGUCAUAUAUGUAUAUAUAUUUUUUAUUUUUAUCGUAGUCUGUGCAACGAAGAGAACCGGAUUCUUUAUCGUAUCGCAUAUAUCUGUGCGAAAAAGAAGAAAAAUAACUCAAAUAUACGGAUGACUUAAGCCCUCAAUAGUAAUUAUUAAAAUAAGAAAUGCCCCAAUUUCCUUCCGUGUUCACUCUUAGGAAAAUACUUGUACGCACUUCGUUAAAAACUUCUCUCUUUUAUUUCUCUCAGUGACACUUUAAAUUACAACGGGCCCGCGCGUCUCAGCGCUCUUCGUAUCGUCGCUCGCACGAAGUUUCAAGCGCCACGCGUUUCGUAUAAUGGGAAAACUAAGAGAAGAUAAUUCCGACUGUGGCCAGUAGAUAAAAUCGAUGCUUCCAGUGCAGUGAAGUAAGAUCUUUGUGACGCACAGCCUGUACCUGUAACAUUGUAUGUAUAUUGCGAAGCGAGCGAAGCACUGUUUAAUAUUGUAUGUAACUAUUUAUAUAAAAUAAUAGAUAUAAUAGAGUAUAUUGGUGUGUGUCCCACAAGUAGUAAGUUCGAUUCGAGGCUCGAUUAGUCAACGGGAGAUGCAGACUGACAAUGGAAGUGAAAUAACAGAUGAAUUACUGUAGAACAAAACUUGGCAUCGUAAUCCAGUUUUCUCUGUCAACCGCGAAUGAGACACGUUUAAGUUCUAAGGACUGCUACGAACUGAUAUUCCAUAGAAAACAGGAAUUCGAGAGGGACGAAAGAGACGGUUAGAAGAAGAAGAGUAAAAAGUGAACAACGCGAGGAAAAUGUCAAAUUGAUGAAGGGCGCUCUUUCCUUUAUACUCUCGGACACAGAAGAAACCCCGAUCAAUUACCCAGUAUCCUUUGACAAGUGAUUAUUUUUAAUGCUCGGAUCUAAGUUAAUUGAAACCUAAUUGUUAACUUAAUACUAAAAUUGUUAUACCUAAGUUAUAUGAUUGGGAGUAAUGCUCCUGAAGUAUUGUCAAAGUGAAAGAUUUUAUUAUGUGCGAAAAACAAUAAAUACUGUACAAAGUA